rnacentral:rRNA from 1 species
CGUACACUCCUACGGGAGGCAGCAGUGAGGAAUAUUGGACAAUGGGUGGAAGCCUGAUCCAGCCAUCCCGCGUGCAGGAAGACGGCCCUAUGGGUUGUAAACUGCUUUUAUCUGGGGAUAAACCUACUUACGUGUAAGUAGCUGAAGGUACCAGAAGAAUAAGCACCGGCUAACUCCGUGCCAGCAGCCGCGGUAAUACGGAGGGUGCAAGCGUUAUCCGGAUUUAUUGGGUUUAAAGGGUCCGUAGGCGGACUGAUAAGUCAGUGGUGAAAUCCGACAGCUUAACUGUCGAACUGCCAUUGAUACUGUUAGUCUUGAGUAAGGUUGAAGUGGCUGGAAUAAGUAGUGUAGCGGUGAAAUGCAUAGAUAUUACUUAGAACACCAAUUGCGAAGGCAGGUCACUAAGUCUUAACUGACGCUGAUGGACGAAAGCGUGGGGAGCGAACAGGAUUAGAAACCCGUGUAGUCCC